UCUUAUCGACUCCAGCGACGCAGCGGUGACAUUUCAUCUUUGACAGACCCUCUCUAUCCUCACUCCAAUGUGAUAAAACUUUUAUGGAACCACGACUAAGAAAUGAAGUUUUCCCAAGGAUCGUGGAAACAGAGCCGCACAUUAGCCUGGGGACCAUUUUAUUUACUCUUGGAUCCAACAGCUUCUUCCACCCUCCUCCUCUCCCCUUUCCCUGGCAGGGGAAAUCAAAGGUGCCUUUCCCUCCGCCCCCAGAUUUAUUUAGUAAUUUAAUUUCACUUUAGUUUUAAGGUUUGACCUGAGAAGUCCAGGCCCUAGAUUUUUUUUUUUUUUUUAGAUUAAUCAUUUUCCUUUGUUUUCAUUUUAGACCCAAUGGUGGUUGGGCUUCUGGUCACGUGACGACUUCUUUGUAGCUCCGGAAGAGAACUGUGAAGUUUAGGUUGCCUGGAAGGAGCUGAGAAUUGCAAGGGGGGAGAAAAAAAUCAAGAUUUGGGGGAAUUACCCACAGAAACUAAAGGUCUCUCACCCAAGCAGAGUCUC